CAGGAUCCCAGUCCCUCUGUGCACAGAUUCACAUUCCCCCUGUGCACUAGUGCCAGGAUCCGUGUCCCUCUGUGCACAGAUUCACAUUCCCCCUGUGCACUAGUGCCAGGAUCCGUGUCCCUCUGUGCACAGAUUUACAUUUCCCCCCGUGCACUAGUGCCAGGAUCCGUGUCCCUCUGUGCACAGAUUCACAGUUCCCCCCGUGCACUAGUGCCAGGAUCCGUGUCCCUCUGUGCACAGAUUCACAGUCCCCCCAUGCACUAGUGCCAGGAUCCGUGUCCCUCUGUGCACAGAUUCACAGUUCCCCCCAUGCACUACUGCCAGGAUCCGUGUCCCUCUGUGCACAGAUUCACAGUCCCCCCAUGCACUAGUGCCAGGAUCCGUGUCCCUCUGUGCACAGAUUCACAGUCCCCCCGUGCACUAGUGCCAGGAUCCGUGUCCCUCUGUGCACAGAUUCACAUUCCCCCCGUGCACUAGUGCCAGGAUCCGUGUCCCUCUGUGCACAGAUUCACAGUUCCCCCCGUGCACUAGUGCCAGGAUCCGUGUCCC